GUUUGACACCCCUGCCUGCAGAGUAUGAGAGUUCCUGUUGGCUCCAACUUCCUUAGCAUUUGAUUGGAAAGGAAACAAAAACAGCCUUUAUUUGCAGGAUCUAUUCUGGGCUCAGCCAAUUGGAUGCCCACAUGUGGGACUCUGAACAUGGAGGGAGUGAUGCAGAGUUCCUGGCGGAGAGCUGAAUAUUCGUGAGGAAGUGUCCAGUGACAACAGUUGUCAAACUCAUCACCCUGCUCCCGUGUGAACACAGGAGUAUCCUGUGUUGCUAUCAAAUUCCUCUGCCUGGUUUCCAUCCCAUCCAUUCAGUGGAUUAUUCAACAUUCUUCCAAUAACACCUUUUCUGCUUAAAUGAGUCAGGAUGAAAAAAAGAAAGUCAGGAUGGCUUUGUGAUUUUUUUUUUUAAGAUUUUAUUUAUUUAUUCAACAGAGAUAGAGACAGCCAGCGAGAGAGGGAACACAAGCAGGGGGAGUGGGAGAGGAAGAAGCAGGCUCAUAGCGGAGGAGCCUGAUGUGGGGCUCGAUCCCACAACGCCGGGAUCACGCCCUGAGCCGAAGGCAGACGCCCAACUGCUGUGCCACCCAGGCACCCCGGCUUUGUGAUUUUUGUUCCAAGAUAACUGAUUGAUACGCUACCAUGAAAAUACUAGUAAAAGAAUGUUGAUAAUGACAUUUGAAAUGAAUUCUCAUUACUAAUUCCAAAGGCGUGAGCUUCUUGAAGUAGAUACUGUCUCAUGUUCUAAAUCCAUGGCAUGAAAGUACAAAGAAGAUCAAAACAUGUUGAUUAAAGAAGUUAAAGUAGAUACAAUAUGCAUUUAGAUUGGAUACAAUUCAGCAACUGAUUGGACAUGGGGGCUGAGAAGAGAAGGAAUUAUGGAGAUGACUGAUUUCUCCCCUGCCUGGAAAGAUGGUAAUUCCAGUAGCAGCAGAGGGAUCAUGCAGGAGCAGAUUUGGGAAACAAAACCCUGGUAAUUCAGCACCCAUAGUGCACCGCCCCUGUUCCUGGAACACCAUGAUGUACAUGUGGUCCAAGGAAGAGGAGUGGGGAACCAUCAGUAAGCAGCAGGCAGAGAGCACAAGCUUUGGGGUCAGAAAACCAUAUGGUUAUCCAGAAAAUUAACAGCUGUAUCAUCUUUGGGAAUGUCUUCAGUCUCCACCUUCCUCUGCAAUAUUCAACCCUGCUGACCACCCCAGCUAGAAAGUCACCCUAAGGACCACCUUACUUCUCUUCUCGGUGCUCUAAACACACUGUAAACUUCUGCUUACGCAUCAUUAGCCACCUGUUUCCUGAAUAGAUGAUGACAGAAAAUACCUCCCAACUCAAAUGCUCUUCUGCAAUGUGAUCUUUCCACCCUACUUCCCCUUUAAGAGCCAUCAUAUCACAAGUGUAACUGCGGGAUCACCACGCUGUGAGAAGCCCAAGCCACACGGAGACACUUGGAUCAUGAAAUGCCAUAUGGAGAGAGAAAGACAAAGGCCAAAGAACACUGAGCACCAAACACCUCAGGGAAGAAACCGUGUUGAAACUGGAUCUUUCAG